GAUGAACGCUGGCGGCGUGCCUAAUACAUGCCAGUCGAGCGAACGGACGAGAAGCUUGCUUCUCUGAUGUUAGCGGCGGACGGGUGAGUAACACGUGGAUAACCUACCUAUAAGACUGGGAUAACUUCGGGAAACCGGAGCUAAUACCGGAUAAUAUUUUGAACCGCAUGGUUCAAAAGUGAAAGACGGUCUUGCUGUCACUUAUAGAUGGAUCCGCGCUGCAUUAGCUAGUUGGUAAGGUAACGGCUUACCAAGGCAACGAUGCAUAGCCGACCUGAGAGAGUGAUCGGCCACACUGGAACUGAGACACGGUCCAGACUCCUACGGGAGGCAGCAGUAGGGAAUCUUCCGCAAUGGGCGAAAGCCUGACGGAGCAACGCCGCGCGAGUGAUGAAGGUCUUCGGAUCGUAAAACUCUGUUAUUAGGGAAGAACAUAUGUGUAAGUAACUGUGCACAUCUUGACGGUACCUAAUCAGAAAGCCACGGCUAACUACGUG
rnacentral:rRNA from 1 species